rnacentral:lncRNA from 1 species
GCCAGGUUUACAGAAGGCAUUGGAUACUAAAUUGAGUUUCAACACUAUAUUUCAUCGACAAACUAAUGGACAGUCAGAGAGGACUAUUCAAACUUUGAAAGAUAUGCUAUGGGCAUGUAGAGUUUUGGGGUGGACAUGCAUAGUGGAAGAAUAAUGGAUUUCAAAAUUUUAAAUUAAAAAAUUUUAAAUAUUAAACCCUUAAACUAGCACCUUCUUGAUGAUAAAUAAUCAUAUAUAAUAUACUCAUAAUAAAAUUUAAACUAUAGAAGAAGACCUGUAAUGCUUAUUCCAA